UGAGAACAUUUAAUAAUUACCUUUUUUCAUUACAUAUAAUUGUGUUAUUCAUUUCAUAAAAUGACAUUUAAGAGAAAUUGUGAAAGCUACAAUUAUGUAAUUAUUUCUGCUAAGUUACUGAUGUUUGCAAGGCUUGUAAAAUUCAGACUUGCUCCAGGUUUUAAGUUUCUGCUGAACCUGUACAAAAUUAUCCAUAUUCGUUUUAGUUCCUCUCUUGUCUCCUGUUAACCUGUGAUGUGUUUAAAACUGUGACGUGAUGCUUGCUCCUUGUGGCACUCCAUCCUUAAAGCCCAUAACCCAGUAUCUGACAUGUGACAGACAUUCACCAUUUACAUCUGUGUUGUCUGCAGUCAUUAAAUAAAACUAAAGUGCAGCAUUCAGGAAAGUGGGACUGACUGGAUAUUGACUUUAACCACAGAUGGGCUUAUAGGCUCAAAUAAUUGUCAACUACUGUGUCCUUUUGACUUUUCUGUGAUUCUGUUUUUCUUCACUUCAAGAAGGUUGGCUGUGGAGACGCCAACAGUGGAGACACAGACUGCCUCUGCUCACAGAGUUCUCCCCUCUAAUCUACUUCUGUAGUAGACUUUCCCAAUGUCCUACCCCCCAUCUCCUCUUGUACACAUUGCUCCUACACAUGCCUGUGGUUUCCUACUACCAACAUCUGAAAUGUCUCUGCCUGGAGACUUUCUCUUGGAUUUAGAGGAGGAAGAAACUGCAAAUGUGGAGAGAUAACUCUCCGCUGGACCAUUCUUCAGUUUAGAGGUAGAUUUUCUAACUUUAUUCCAAAUUCCCAAGAGAAUGGGCCCCAGAUUCCCAGAGCACCAGCUGUCUCAUUUAAUACAUUCUUGUCCGACUCCCUUUCUUAGAUGGAUUAUGGCUCUAUCCCCAAACAUGCUCCUUUGGAGUUCCGUGUAAACUGCUUUCCCUGGAGUUCUCUCAUGGGGAUAUAAUUUAACAGAGCUUCUCUGAAAGAGAGUAUGAUCCCUCCAGUAGAUACUUCUAGAGCAUAUUUAGGAUACUCUGAUAGCUUGUCCCGUGCCACAAGAAUUCAUUUUUGCUAAGAGAAUUAGCAUGUAUAGUUUUUACAUAUAUGAAAUGUGUACUAUGCAAUAACUUACACACAUGAAGCAUAAAAAUGACACAUUUUUACAUGAGUUGGAUGUAUCUUAAAUUUUUUUCAACAAUUCAUUUUGAAAAAAAAGACUAAAAGCAAAUCCAAUUCUAAUGUUUAUAAGAAAUUAAAGUUAUUCUAAGAAUAAAACUAUAUGACCUUGAUAAAAAUCAGAAACAAUGGGUAAAGUACAAAUCGGCUGCACAUUUAAAUUCUAGUGAAUUUCAAAACAUACUACACUAAGCAUUUUUGUUUCUAUAUAUAAUAGCUUGGUGGAAAGCACUCUGAAGACAUCAGUAGGAGAUGCUAAAUAAGUUCAAGUUCACCCCUGAAAGACUUCAACACUACUUUAUUAGAGACUUGUGAGAAUAUAUUUGGAAGGCAAUUCAUAUUCAGUAGUAGAAGAAAGAACUAGUUCUCCUGACACUUAGUGUAAUAAGUAGAAAAGUCCUCCUAGCUAACCAGGUAGAUAUAUGAAGAUGUUCUGAUUAAAAGUUGUAUACAUGCCUUACAUCUAUCAGGUCACACAGAUUGUCACGUUCUAGACAUUGACCAAGUCAAAAUAUAGCAGAGUUAAGGGGAUUUCAUCACCCAUUUAAUAAGAGGACACAUUCAAGUAGGCCUCAGUGUGAGUAGGUAAACUACAUUCUAGUUGGUUAGUACAGGGAUAUAUCACCCCUCUGGCUGAAUAGUGUUGAAAUAAAAGCAAAAUAAAAGAUAUUUAAAUACAAAGCAUGACAUAUGCGAAAUACAGCCUGUUGAUACUCCUUGAUCUACUUAACUGUUUCCUGAGUCACAGGGAACAUUUUCACAGCCUUUCAUGGACUUAUGAUGCUGCAGCUCUCUAGCAGCUCAUGCUUUCUUCUCAUUGGGGGAGAGAUCCCAAAGGUGAUGCCUGGGUGGUUUGGGCCAAUAUAGACACCAAUGUUGUGACUCCUUGAAGAAGGAUUGCCAACAUUUUCUUAGUGAAUUCAAACUAAUGUGAAAGACAGAAGAAGAUACAAAAUAAAUACAAGAUAUUUCUUUUGGUUUUAAGACUUCAUAUAGAGAGUGAAGUCAUGAUUGGUUGCAUUUUCAACUUUAGAAGUUGAAACACAAGUGAUUCUUUGCCACAGAUCUCCAGGCCAAGACUACUGGGAUGUCAGGACAGUUAUGAUCAAAAAGCAGAUUUGAAGAAUUUCAGAUUUGCUGUUGACUUUCCAAAUGUUCAUUUCACAUGGUCACUGCUGGAGUAAAUAUAAAACAUGAGAGGAAGAAGUCAAGGCAUCGAAGAGAAGGGGAAAGAUGGAGGGAGGAAAAAAGGGAGGGGGAAGGGAGGAAGAAACUGGAGAGAGAUAAACUGAUUUCAUUCUCCUGAAAUGGCUGAGCCAAGCACUGUCAUGAGACUCUAUAGGGAUGGAGGAAAUGCCCAUGUUGAACUAGUAAUAUAAUUUGGCUGGAGCUCAUCUGCAGCAUCAUUUGGAAAAGAACCUUUAAUAUUCUUCUUAAUCCUUAUAUUCUUUGACUGUGUGUUCUUCCAAAAAUAAUUCCUAUUCUUUUAUAGACGAGAAAGAAUAUAAAAUGAAACUAUUCCACGGAGCUAUCCAGUCAAAUUAUUCACAUCAGAGGCUGUCCUGGGAACAUGUGCUUAAUGUUCUGUGCUUCCUGAGGAAAUGAGAAAUACCACAGAUUUAUAUUAGGGGGCUUUUAGGGAGAAAGGUUGUAAGUGCAACCAAUCAUGACUUCGCUCUCUACAUGAAGUAUUAAAAUCAAAACCAACUAUGAUGACCUUCAGAACAAGCUAGAACAGAGUGGAGGUGGUUUUCUGAAAUCAGAGAUGGUAAGAAACCCAAGCCUCUUUGCCAGAGUUCUGUUGAACGUUUAGCACAUAUUCAAAAUACAAUUUAAACUAACUUCUGAAUCUUUGCAAACAACAAUUCACAAGAAAAAUCUGGUAUUUACUUUGUAUCUUCUUCUGUCUUUCACAAGUGUGUCAUAGAUACUGGAAAGAUGAUCUUUGAAGGGCUUUGAGAAGAUCUGAGUAAGAGCACAGAACCACUCUACAGGUGUUACAUUGCUAUUUAUCUGUGCUGGAAGACCCAACUCAUGCAUAAACAAAAAUUCCUAGCAGUAACAACAAAAACACAUUUGCCUUGGAAAAGCACUUCAUGUUUUGUUUGCAAAGUCAAGAUUGCCUGUUAUAUAUUUCUGAAGUGGCACCCAUCACUCUUCUCAUCGAGUAGAAGCUGGUCCCAUCUAGUGCCUUUACCCAGGGAUCCUGAUGAGGAGCUAGAACACAGGACUUCAGUGACAGUCCAAAACACCAUUUCAAUUCUG